rnacentral:rRNA from 1 species
AGUGAACGCUGGCGGUAGGCCUAACACAUGCAAGUCGAACGGCAGCACAGUAAGAGCUUGCUCUUACGGGUGGCGAGUGGCGGACGGGUGAGGAAUACAUCGGAAUCUACUUUUUCGUGGGGGAUAACGUAGGGAAACUUACGCUAAUACCGCAUACGACCUACGGGUGAAAGCAGGGGAUCUUCGGACCUUGCGCGAUUGAAUGAGCCGAUGUCGGAUUAGCUAGUUGGCGGGGUAAAGGCCCACCAAGGCGACGAUCCGUAGCUGGUCUGAGAGGAUGAUCAGCCACACUGGAACUGAGACACGGUCCAGACUCCUACGGGAGGCAGCAGUGGGGAAUAUUGGACAAUGGGUGCAAGCCUGAUCCAGCCAUACCGCGUGGGUGAAGAAGGCCUUCGGGUUGUAAAGCCCUUUUGUUGGGAAAGAAAAGCAGCGGGUUAAUACCCCGCUGUUCUGACGGUACCCAAAGAAUAAGCACCGGCUAACUUCGUG